AGGAUGGAAACAGGAUGCCCACCAUCAAGCAGUCAACCCCUGCAGCCACUCCCCAGUGAAGGAUGCUAAGGAGACAGGAUAAGAAAGCACAGGAUACUGGCCCCCGAUGGCUGAGUCUGUCAAGAGAAUACGACCCACAGUUUGGAAAACAUUGCUGGAGCCAGGUGGUGAGCACAUGGAGGUGGAAAGUAAAAGAGAGAGUAUGGAGUGGCAUGAAUCCAGGGAAGUCUGUCUUGGAAAAAGACUGUACUUAAUCUGUUUCUUCAAAGGAGCAUCCUGUUUAGAUUAUUGGGGUCCAGGAUGAUGCUCAGUGUUGAUGCUGAGUUGGGACAACAGUAUGAGCAAAGAAGACACUGAAGAGGAGGAGUGAGCAGCAAGUUCAGGGGUCAUUAAGAGAGAAUUCUGGUUUUUCAAAUGACUGCUUUUGUAGAUUAUGGAAAUAAGUGUACAAGUCAAACUAGAGGCUUGAAAAGAGAUUUUUGAGGGUACAUGUUUGAGAAAAACACUAAUGUUGAUAACUGGGAAUAGUCUAAUGGAAGAGCAAAUCAAGGACAUUUAACAACCAUAUUAUUAUUUGCAUUAGUAUUCCAUUUUUAUCAACGUUUUUUGUAAUCACAAUUAUCAUUACUCCUCAAAGUAAGCCUUUGGCAGAAGAGAAGUUAUUUCCAGAGGAAGAAACUGAUACAAAGAGAUAACAUACAUUGUUCAAGGUAUAAUUCCUUGAAGUGACUUCAGUAGAUCAUGUCAAUUCUGGCCCAAAGGAAUUAAUUCACCCUAGGAGUUCAGCAGAUAGGCACAAAUUUUAAACAAAAAGUGAAACAAAUCAAGAGCAUUGAAACAAUAACCACUUAUUCCCAUCCAGCUCUAAAGAUUAGUUUGUCCCUUUUCUCAAGGGUGUAAAUUGUUUACUUUUGAUGACCUUGAUCUGUUGCUUUAAUUUUGCAAAGAACUGGGUGUUGGAGUGAGUGAUGAAAUUUGGGGGGAAGGAAACCUUGGGUAGAGGUACAAUUUUUUGUGAAGUUUAUUUCAGAGCACAUGAGUUAAUCAGGAAAAUUAAAGAAAGAGAAGCCAUAUGUGGAUAUGAUUGAGAUAGAGUAGGACAAUUACACAGGUAGUUGUAGAAGUUCCAGUAGGGGACCAUAGAGGACAACCUAGGGAACUUUGGGAGACCAUUGUAAGUUAAUGAUCACUCAAGAAAGCUAUCAGAAUGUUGUGCAGCUAAGCAGCCUUGCUUAACUAUAAAACCAUAAAUAAAAGCACAAGAUAUGUGCCAGGUCAUUAAGUGAAAGAUAAAAUGAGGCCUGCAUUCAAGUUUAGCAAGAUACUGAUCCUUAGGACCAAGGACAGGAAUUUAAGGGAAAGAUGACAUUCCAAAACAGGAGACCCUCAUUAUACGGAAACCUGAAAUGAUUCAACAUAUGCUGGCAUAUGUUACCACCCUUCUGCUGAUUUGAAUAAGCACCAUGACAGUCCUCGUUUGACAUCAUAGGGUCAAUUUACCUGAUAUGAAGGAGGAGCUAAUGAUGUAAGCCUGAUGUCUACUUGCAAAAUGAGGAAGAAGGCAGUCUUUUCUGACUUCCCCACUUUUCUUGGAUUGUAAAAAUGUAGUCCACCUAAUGCUCAGGACAGAGCCUCCUUGCCUGACUGCUUGCAUCCCUCACAAGCAUCCUAUCUUAAUAAAUCUAUUUCUUAC
rnacentral:lncRNA from 1 species